CUCUAAGCAUCAGGUAACACGAAAUCGUACCCCAAACCGACACAGGUGGUCAGGUAGAGAAUACCAAGGCGCUUGAGAGAACUCGGGUGAAGGAACUAGGCAAAAUGGUGCCGUAACUUCGGGAGAAGGCACGCUGACACGUAGGUGAAGUGAUUUACUCAUGGAGCUGAAGUCAGUCGAAGAUACCAGCUGGCUGCAACUGUUUAUUAAAAACACAGCACUGUGCAAACACGAAAGUGGACGUAUACGGUGUGACGCCUGCCCGGUGCCGGAAGGUUAAUUGAUGGGGUCAGCGUAAGCGAAGCUCCUGAUCGAAGCCCCGGUAAACGGCGGCCGUAACUAUAACGGUCCUAAGGUAGCGAAAUUCCUUGUCGGGUAAGUUCCGACCUGCACGAAUGGCGUAAUGAUGGCCAGGCUGUCUCCACCCGAGACUCAGUGAAAUUGAACUCGCUGUGAAGAUGCAGUGUACCCGCGGCAAGACGGAAAGACCCCGUGAACCUUUACUAUAGCUUGACACUGAACAUUGAGCCUUGAUGUGUAGGAUAGGUGGGAGGCUUUGAAGUGUGGACGCCAGUCUGCAUGGAGCCGACCUUGAAAUACCACCCUUUAAUGUUUGAUGUUCUAACGUGGACCCGUAAUCCGGGUUGCGGACAGUGUCUGGUGGGUAGUUUGACUGGGGCGGUCUCCUCCUAAAGAGUAACGGAGGAGCACGAAGGUUGGCUAAUCCUGGUCGGACAUCAGGAGGUUAGUGCAAUGGCAUAAGCCAGCUUGACUGCGAGCGUGACGGCGCGAGCAGGUGCGAAAGCAGGUCAUAGUGAUCCGGUGGUUCUGAAUGGAAGGGCCAUCGCUCAACGGAUAAAAGGUACUCCGGGGAUAACAGGCUGAUACCGCCCAAGAGUUCAUAUCGACGGCGGUGUUUGGCACCUCGAUGUCGGCUCAUCACAUCCUGGGGCUGAAGUAGGUCCCAAGGGUAUGGCUGUUCGCCAUUUAAAGUGGUACGCGAGCUGGGUUUAGAACGUCGUGAGACAGUUCGGUCCCUAUCUGCCGUGGGCGCUGGAGAACUGAGGGGGGCUGCUCCUAGUACGAGAGGACCGGAGUGGACGCAUCACUGGUGUUCGGGUUGUCAUGCCAAUGGCACUGCCCGGUAGCUAAAUGCGGAAGAGAUAAGUGCUGAAAGCAUCUAAGCACGAAACUUGCCCCGAGAUGAGUUCUCCCUGAGACUUAGAGUCUCCUGAAGGAACGUUGAAGACGACGACGUUGAUAGGCCGGGUGUGUAAGCGCAGCGAUGCGUUGAGCUAACCGGUACUAAUGAACCGUGAGGCUUAACCUUACA
rnacentral:rRNA from 1 species